rnacentral:tmRNA from 1 species
GGGGGCGAUCUGGUUUCGACGUGGUCGAUUCUCCGGCAGAGUUGCAAGCCGAGGUCCCCGGUCGGCCUCGUAAAACAACCGGGAAACAACGUAAGUGCGGAUAACGAUCACGCACUCGCUCUCGCUGCCUAAUCAGUAGCUGAGCGCGUCGCUCCGAACUCGGCCCGUGGUUCGGGUAGCGGCGUCAAAAACGGGCUCGGCGCCUAGGGAGAGCCAAUCGCCCGAAGCGCGACACCAAAGGAUGGCUAGCCCGGCGGUUGGUCGGCUGCCAACCGGCCGGCGGGCGAAACGCAACGGCAGCCUAAGCUUGUAGACGCUCUGCGCGGGGCGUCCGCGGACGCGGGUUCGAUUCCCGCCGCCUCCACUU